AGCUCUUCUCCAACAAGAAAAAGGUCCCGAACCCGCCUCCGAUCACUCUGAGGUGUUACCGCACUUACCACAUCCAAGUGAAUGUUGGGAUUGUGGACGAUAACGGAUACAUCGUCAGCGCAUCGGUCGUCCGGCAAUCUGUUGGUGCCGACUUCAUUGCCGUCACCAGUAGCAUUACUAGGCGUCCAGUCAACAGCGGUACAAGACAGGCGCGCUGACUGAAGUUCUCAAGGCUGUUUAUGUAAUAACAGUAAUAAAUAAAUAUUUAUUUGUGAG
rnacentral:lncRNA from 1 species